rnacentral:rRNA from 1 species
CAACUGAAGAGUUUGAUCAUGGCUCAGAUUGAACGCUGGCGGCAGGCCUAACACAUGCAAGUCGAGCGCGAAAGCACUUCGGUGUGAGUAGAGCGGCGGACGGGUGAGUAACGCGUAAGAAUCUACCUAGUAGUGGGGGACAACUCGAGGAAACUCGAGCUAAUACCGCAUACGCCCUACGGGGGAAAGCGGGGGACCUUCGGGCCUCGCGCUAUUAGAUGAGCUUGCGUUGGAUUAGCUUGUUGGUGAGGUAAUGGCUCACCAAGGCUACGAUCCAUAGCUGGUCUGAGAGGAUGAUCAGCCACACCGGGACUGAGACACGGCCCGGACUCCUACGGGAGGCAGCAGUCGGGAAUAUUGCGCAAUGGGCGAAAGCCUGACGCAGCCAUGCCGCGUGUGUGAAGAAGGCCUUCGGGUUGUAAAGCACUUUCAAUUGGGAGGAAAGGUUCACGGUUAAUAACCGUGAGCUGUGACGUUACCUUUAGAAGAAGCACCGGCUAACUCCGUGCCAGCAGCCGCGGUAAUACGGAGGGUGCGAGCGUUAAUCGGAAUUACUGGGCGUAAAGCGUACGUAGGCGGUUAUUUAAGUCAGAU